AGCGAACGCUGGCGGCAGGCCUAACACAUGCAAGUCGAACGAACCUUUCGGGGUUAGUGGCGGACGGGUGAGUAACACGUGGGAACGUGCCUUUAGGUUCGGAAUAACUCAGGGAAACUUGUGCUAAUACCGAAUGUGCCCUUCGGGGGAAAGAUUAAUCGCCUUUAGAGCGGCCCGCGUCUGAUUAGCUAGUUGGCUGAGGUAAUGGCUCACCAAGGCGACGAUCAGUAGCUGGUCUGAGAGGAUGAUCAGCCACAUUGGGACUGAGACACGGCCCAAACUCCUACGGGAGGCAGCAGUAGGGAAUCUUGCGCAAUGGGCGAAAGCCUGACGCAGCCAUGCCGCGUGAAUGAUGAAGGUCUUAGGAUUGUAAAAUUCUUUCACCGGGGACGAUAAUGACGGUACCCGGAGAAGAAGCCCCGGCUAACUUCGUG
rnacentral:rRNA from 1 species